GUGAAUUACUGUAAUUUAAGUACUUACAGUUUUUGAAGACAGCAGGCUCAGGGAUCAAGUAAGUCUUUCAACUCCUUCACUAUGCGGCGCCGGCGAUACCACUCGCAUAGUGAAGGAUUGGAUCGGACAAGGAGCAAUUUAAAUAUUUAGCAUAUUGUGUAACUAUUACUAAGCAAACAAGGCAUUUUGCCACCCCAUUGGCAAGUGCCGCCCUAGGCAAAUGCCUUGUUUGCCUUGUGAUAGAUACACCCCUGGUCAAAAGGGAACCUGUCACCAUGAAAAUGAAGGCCAGCCUGCAGACCGCAUGUUACAGAGCAGGAGGAGCUGAGCUACCUGAUAUAGUAUUGUGGGAAAAGAUUCCACAAAACAUGUAUGUUACUCAUUCUGGGCCUAGGAGUCCAGUGGGCGGUCCUACUCAGCGAUUGACAGUAUUUUGUAUAUAUUGUGCACACAGAUAGCUGUCAGUGAAUACAAUUUCUUAGCACUGUGUGAAUGAAGGGUGCCCCAUGUGCUGGUUUCCUUCCUUUUGUAAUAUCGGGCAUUGAGUAGGACCGCCCACUUGACUCCUAAGAACAGAAUGAGCAGAAUAUAAAAUUUAAAAGAAUACAAGUUAUAGUAUAUCUUUUCCAACAAAGCUUUAAAUCCGUCUACUCCACUCCAUCGGUACUAUACCAUGCUGCCUGCCGAUCGGACUGCGUGUGCAAACUGACGGGUGCCCUUUAAGUACUGGAUAUUUUUCCCUGUAUGCAUGUUAUUGAUGAUCUUUGUGAAAUCCAUGAAUUAAUUAAUGUCCCUUUUUAGUUUCUUGUAUUAUCAGACUGUACGAAGUAUCAUUGUAAGGUGAAAAAAAAUCAGCAUAAAAGCGCAGCUGGUAACUUUAUUUGUAUGGGAGUAGAUGUAUGCUUGACUGUGGUCUGUGGCGUCUCAAACGGCUUUUGCCGCAGACCAAAUAUUUUACUGUAUCUUCUGGAGCAGUGUCUGGUUAUUUGGAAUAUCUCAACUUUUACAUAAUACUUUUUUCUACCUCAGGAAUUUCUUAACGCUGUGUGAAUGAGGGGUGCCCUGUGUGCGGUUUUUGCUUUGUAAUAUCGGGCAUUGUAGGGUUUUAUAGCUAUACCCAACAAUAAAAAAAAACUGUAGGUUGAUAAACAAAUCUUUAUAGCUGCAAGGUGUGCUGUGUCUUCCAGUUCAUUCAUACUCCUCCUUAGUGGUAUUACAACAUAAAGGGGUAUCCCUUUAUUUUUUUUGUUUAAUUUAUUGGUUUAUAUAAAUGGGAAAUUUAUACCAUUUUUAAAUAUACAUGUAUUUAAAGUUUUGCUUACAUAUCUAUCUUAUAUGGGCAGCACGGUGGCUCAGUGGUUAGCACUGGUGUCUUAGGUUUGAAUCCGACCAAAGACAACACCUGCAUGGAGUUUGUAUGUUUCCUCCCACACUCCAGAGAUAUACUGAUAGGGACCUUAGAUUGUGACCCCAUAGGGGACAGAGUGAUGAUUAAGUCUGUGAAGGGCGGCAGAAUAUGUCAGCACUAUAUAAGUGAGUACAAUAAAUGGGUUGCUUUCCCCCUAUUGGCACAGUAAAAUGGUGUAGUCCAUGGAUCAUUCAGUCCCGUGUAAUGCAUCCAUAGACUAAAUGAAAUAUGGGAUCAGUCAUGGGACACUGACAUCCAGUAAGCAACGGUGUUACAUGACAUAUAUACAUAGGAAUAAUGGUGGAAAUCAUUGUGGCCAUUACAACAACUAUGUCACUGUAUAUGUGUUUAUGGCUGCCUAUUUCCACUUGAUAUGUAAAUGGCUGCCUGUCUCUAGGUGGUGAUGUUAAUAAAUUUAACUGUAAAAAGAAUGCAAACAUGACACAUACAGGCAAGAUAUGGAGAACAAUGUCAGAUGUGCUUCUACACAGACACUGAUGGACAUGAUGAGAUGCUGCUGCAGGCAGUAAUACUGUAAUAUACUAGUAGUGGGUGUAUAUAUAUAUAUAUAUGCGAGCGGUCACAUGACGGGAUUGACACCAAUAGUCCUAUUCAGAUCUCGUACGAAGGCUCAAAGUCUGAGAGCAAAAUUUUAAAUACAUAUACAUUAGAAAAUUAUAUAUAACUGCCUAUUCUCUAAGCAAAUAAACUUAAUCAUUAAAAUUGGAAUACCUCUUUAAAUGGUUUGGAGGCUCUAUACAAAUGUGCAGGUGCACAUAAAGCCACUUAUUACUAUAAUUCCGUAAGGGUACUUUCACACUUGCGUUAAAGUUUUCCGGUAUUGAGUUCCGUCACAGGGGCUCAAUACCGGAAAAAAGCGCUUCAGUUUUAUCCCCAUGCAUUCUGAAUAGAGAGCAAUCCAUUCAGGAUGUCUUCAGUUCAGUCACUCUUACAGUAUUUGGCUGGAGAAAACACCGCAGCAUGCUGCAGUAUAUUCUGGAACACACGCCGGAUCCCGCAUUAAUUUCCAUAGAAAUGUAUAAAUGCCGGAUCAGGUACCAAGUCCUGAGGAUAGGUGAUCAGUAAAAAAAUAAAAAUCUUGGAAAACCCCUUUAAUGCAUUUUUGCUUAUGUCGUUUUGUGGCAAUACAUUCAGUAUAACUUGCCUCUUAUUUUUAAUCCCAGCCCUUCCUAUGUUUAGGAGCCCAGUGGGUGGCUAUAUGUCUGUGUAGUAACUGGAAUCCAAAUCGUAGAAAGAGAAGGGAUUUCAAUUAAAGGGCUUAUCCCACAAACUUAAAACAAAUCUUUUUCACUCGCACCUGGAGGACUUUCACCAACGAUACAUAUAGCAUGUAUGCCCUCCUCCACCCAUUUGCUUUUCUAUUUUCUAGAGAGAGCUUUUCAGGCCGCUUCUCAAUGGAAUCCCUAUGCCAGGGAAGGUGGGCCGGGGGUGCUAUCGGAGAGGAGAAUGUUCUUAUUGCAUGUAUAUUGCAAUAAUACUUUUAAAACGCUGUCUUGGUGGCACAUGAAUACUUUCUUGGGAUAAUGCCUUAAAUAAAACAGUGCUUAUUCUGAACGCUUUCCCACAAAGCUAUAUAUAAAUCUGCUUAGCGCUAUACAAUGCUGCCCACCGCUUAAUCUGCUGAAUGUUAUGCUCAAAGCUCUACUGAUUUUGAGCAUUAUAUUUUACAUGUAGUGCAUUUUUCAUGGGGGGGGGGGGGGGUCAAACCCCCACUAAUUUCAUAAUGAUGACCUAUCCUGAAGACAGGUCAUCAGUAGUGAUGAGCGAGGCAAGCUUUGGAUGCUACAUCCGAUGUCGUUUUUGUUCAAAAUUAAUGUUAAUUAAUACAGAGAUCCAUCUCCGUACAGUACUAAAAUGUAUGGGCUCCGAUGAGGCGAAGUCGCGUGAGACUUAGUUGAAUAACUUCUGUAGUUGAUUUUUACAGUGGAUAACCACUUUAAAACUUGGAACCGAACCCGCUUCAGUUCCUACUGGUACCUCUGACUUCAUCUCAUCUGAGCCCAUCCGUUAUAAUACUGAACAGAGACAGAUCUCCAUACACUGUUAAUCUCAAGUUCUGAACAAAGUGACUUCGGCGGUAGCAUCUGAAGCUUGCUUCGCUCCUCACUAGUCAUCGGUAACAUCCUGAUUUUUGGCUUCAAAAGCUGCUGCAAGAAAAAAAUCUGAACUUGUGGCAGUGCCCUCUGAAGAAGUGUCUGGAAGGUUAAGGCUAGUCUCACAUCUGCGGCAGUUAUUCCGGAAGGCUGUAAUUCUCCACGUCCAGCAUUGCCGGAUGCAACUGGAAUGCCCGCCUGUCCCGUUAACUAUAAAGGGGUCUGGCACAGAUCCAGCAAAUAUGCAGACAAAUUGCCAGACACAAACCGCUGCAUAUGGCUGAGAGUUCCUGCCUGACCACAGAUCUACUCUACUAAACUGAAAUGACGCCUUGACCGAUAGUCGGGCAGGGACGCUCAGCAUCGUUAAUCAUUACGAUGCUGUAAGUUUGAGUCACAGAAGCAUUGUUCGGUCCAGGAAAUGCGACAAUCGCAUGGAGCGUGUAUCCUGGACCUAAGGCCUCAUCAUGCACACGACCAUAUUUUUGGAUACGGUCGUGUGCAGGAGGCCUAUAAGAGUGAGUUCACACAUCAAAUGCUUGUUGCAGAAUAUGCGCUGAAAAUCCGUAACAGUACCAUGUUAUUGAACGCAAAGCAAUGGGUGAAAACUGCAACUGAGUCCGCACCAAAAUCCGCAAUGAUAACACAGGCGGAUUUGAUGCAGAUUUUAAUGCACAUUUGGACUACAUUCACACACAGUCACAUGGCUGUUUUCAGAGCCAAUUAGAGACCAUGGGACUAUUUACGUGGCCAGUUAACGGUCAUAAAAAAUAGGUAUGCUCUUUGAAUUGCAUUAUGGAUUCCAUUACCACGGACUAUAAUGCAAUUCCAUGACGGAAUGCCUUUAGAGGCAUUGUGUUAUUCUUUCCGUCAUAAUAGAAGUCUGUGGACUGCAAAACGGAUCCGUCCCGUUUCCAUUAUGCAGGGGAGGAAACUGAAUGGAUCCAUUUUGCAGCCCAUAGACUUCUAUUAUGACGGAAAGAAUUCCAUUAUAGAAUUGCGUUCUGGUCCGUGGUAACUGAAUCCAUAACGCAAUUCACCUUUUACCAGCAAAGGAAGCGUGAACGAAUUUCAAAAUAUGAAAUUCGCUCAUCUCUAGCUAUAAUAGAUACUUUGGGCACUAUGGGGGCUAUUAUAGAUACUGAGAGCAGUAAGGGAGUCAUUAUAUAUGCAGGUGGCACUACAGAGAGACAUAAUAUAUACUGCGGGCACUGCAGGGGAUGGGAUAAAAAAAGAAAAUCCUGUGAAAUUCAUUUUUUUUCUUUUUAUAAUGUCCAUCGUUAACACCUGUUAGAAAAUGGAUGCACACACACUGAUGCAAAAUGGCCAUAAAAUACGAAGUGUGUCCGGUCUUGUCUGAACCCAGCCUUAGUUUGGGAAAACCUACUCUGAACCUCUUUAAUUUAAAGGAAUUCUUGUCAUUUUCCUCUGCAAAGUAAAGAGCAAUAAUUGUGUCUAAUUGAAAGUUGUAAAUGGGGGCACAUGUUUAUUCUGACCAGGUAUUGGUUUUUGGCAUUUGGCCAAGACCCACCUCUACCAGAAUCGGGUGAAGCACAUGGCACAACCACCAGCGGUGCGGCCAAAAACUCCAGUGCAAAACUGUGUGAAACAAACUGCCUCCUGUAAAUGAAGCUUUUUUUUCCUGCCGUAUAGGUCUCUCCUUUUUCUUUAAAUGAUUGGUAACAAAUAUAUUAAGCCUAUCUGUAUUGGCUCUCCAUGUCUUGAACGUGUAAAGCCAUAAUGUUGUAUUUGCCUGAGUCUUAUAAAAGGUAUACAUAGCAUUUGUAUAAAUUUUUGCAAUCGCAGCGUGCCUUUUUUAAGGUUUUAGGGAAACAUUGUGAUUUAUAUUAUUCAAAUAAAUAAUUGCAACAAAA